rfam:Myotis lucifugus cont2.9470, whole genome shotgun sequence.
GCUAGUGUGGCUAACUGGUUAAAGCGUUGCCCUGAGCACCGAAGGGUCAUGGGUUCAAUUCCCAGUCAAGGGCA